AUACGGAGGGUGCGAGCGUUAUUCGGAUUUACUGGGUUUAAAGGGUGCGUAGGCGGCUUUUUAAGUCAGGGGUGAAAGCCUGGCGCUUAACGCCAGAAAUGCCAUUGAUACUGGAGAGCUCGAGUCAAGAAGAGGUAAGUAGAAUUCAUGGUGUAGCGGUGAAAUGCUUAGAUACCAUGAGGAAUUCCAAUAGCGAAGGCAGCUUACUGGUCUUUGACUGACGCUGAGGCACGAAAGCGUGGGGAGCGAACAGGAUUAGAAACCCCGGUAGUCC
rnacentral:rRNA from 1 species